CAGGCUAAUGGGAAACGGAGCAACCACAUG
rnacentral:piRNA from 1 species